UACGUAGGGGGCAAGCGUUAUCCGGAUUUACUGGGUGUAAAGGGAGCGUAGACGGCUUGGCAAGUCAGAAGUGAAAACCCAUGGCUCAACCAUGGGACUGCUUUUGAAACUGUCUGGCUAGAGUGCAGGAGAGGUAAGCGGAAUUCCUAGUGUAGCGGUGAAAUGCGUAGAUAUUAGGAGGAACACCAGUGGCGAAGGCGGCUUACUGGACUGUAACUGACGUUGAGGCUCGAAAGCGUGGGGAGCAAACAGG
rnacentral:rRNA from 1 species